ACAAUCCUAAACCGAUUCUUUGCUCCGGUUCCGCCGGUCAAAGUCUUAAACCCUUUGUGAAAACAAAAAUCUUUUUUGCUUCGGCAGCAGGUCGGACGUCCUCCGCGGCCCCGACUGUCAGCCUGCCGACGGCGCCAAACCAAACUUGUUAUUUCUGUACAGUCUGAAAAAACAUUUUUGAAUGAAAUCA
rnacentral:misc_RNA from 1 species